UUUCCUCAGUUUAACAACUUUUUAAUUGGAUGGCAUUGAUUAUUUCAGCGAUGAAGUGUAUUUGGAAUAUGGAGACAACACAAAGGCAUGAAUGAAGAUUAAGUCUUGCUUCCAACCCCAGAAAAAUGUUAAAAAGAGUUACCAGAGUAUUUGAAAAUAUUUUUAAUAGUUUGGAACAACUAAAUUUAGCUAAGCUGCAGAUAGGCCUCUCUUUAUUACAGCCAGAGUUACUAUGGCAACAUGCUACAAUUAUUUAUCGCCAUGACGAUCCACUGGAGAUUUUUUAAAUGCAUUAUCUAUUUUUGUUUGCAUUGUCAUUCCUGCCAGGGGAGGGAAGACACCAAUUUGGUGCUCUGUGAAAUGGUCAACAUUUCACCCCAGCCAUGGCAGGGUGGAGGCUGGGGGAGAUUUUAAAUUAAGCGUCAGGAAAAGCCAAGGAACAACCUCUAUCAGGAUUAUUUUUUCCCCCUUUUUUAGUCAAAAAUAGGUUACUGUUUCUAACUGACAAGUGAAUAAGAGCUUGUUCUUUGCCAGUCUUCCUCCUGACUGCUCUUUGAUAAUCUGAGAUACCAGAAACAAAUGGGAAUGAAUGAGUUCUGCAACACCCAGGAACUGUUAUUAUCUCUGCCACGGGGAGAGGGAAAUGCAGACGAGCUAUAUUAGGCAACUUCUCUAAGGUCACAUCAGCAGGCAGCGAUAAGGAUGUGAUUAGGACCUGCUUCCCUGGCCACAUCCUCCAGUGUGGCGGCAGCAUCACGAAUCCAGUGCUGCUGUCACAAGGGCUCUGCAUCUUUAUUAUGUACACCAGGUCAGGGGGAAUUGGAAAAGCCUGUCAAUCCCUGGUUGCAGGAACGAGGGAGGGAUAUCUGCAAAGUGCUGCCACUGCAUUUGUUUGGCUGUGACAGCAGAGGAGCUCCACCAGCUCAUCAAUGCUCGGGGGGCUCUUUUUUGGGUGCCAGGUGGGUUUUGCUGCCCUUGCCCAGCCCACACCAGAGGUUCAGGUGCACCAAGCUGGAGAGGUCUUGCCCUGGCAGAGGCACAGCAGACCUCCCUCCACCCCAGGACACGGUGUGUGGGUAACCCUGCUCGAAGCAAACCACCAUGUCCCUGUUCCCUCUGCGGGAUGAUGCUUGAGUGGAGCAGACGUGCUUGAGGAAAGGUUGGUGGAUAUUGUUCUGACACAUCCCAAUAAUGCUCUGCUGGUCUUGUCCAGGGUGAUGGUUAAGUAAUCCUAAAGAGGACGUGGAAAGAGCUCCCUUUGUGACUCUCUGACUAAUGAAAAGCCCUUUAUAUAACGCUGCAAUCAACUGCAUGGGGCUGCUGGGACGGGUAAUUGGGCUACGAAGGGGCUCCAUUUAUGGGACAUUAUGUAAUUUACCAUUCUGUCACCAUCCGCUCCCAAAACUGUGGCUCUUUCUCCAAGGCUCACAUUUCCAAGCAAUCAUCAAGACUUGGCCCUUCACAUCUUAUAUCAUGAGCAGGAUCUUUACAGGUGCAGCUGGUUUGGAUUGGACUUGACUCUCCUGUGCACUAAGGAGAGCGAGAGGCAGUUCCUGGUGGGACAGUCCAGGUUUUGGCUCCUGUACAGCACAUGUAGAUGCAAAAUCCUUCUUCUUAGAGGGGGUUGUGGGUUCAAGCAACACAUCUCAUAAAAGCAGCUGUGGGACUUGCUGUGCCUGUGCCUGAGGGGAGCCAGGCAGACGUUCCCGGAGGGUACUGCUCUAUUUAUGAGAUUAUUUCCAAUAGUCUUCAAGGGCUAUUGCUGUAGGGCAGCACAAGACCAAAACCAGGCUGAAGAGCAUGAAAAACAAGGGAGGCUUCCUUGCCAGGCCUGUUCCUGAGGUGACAGUGGCCCACCCUUGGCACACUCUGUGGCACAGACACUCCUCUCUGUCAGAGCCGUGUGUGCCUGCAGAUCCCCACAUCACAUCCCACGGCAAAUCAACAGAGCUGCAUGGACUGGAGCAAACCCCAGAGCCCUCCUGCUGUCAUGUCAAUAAUCCCUGAGCAAAGUGAGCUUGGGAACUGCUGCUUUUGAUCAGAGACAUUGACAGUUAUUGAUUUAAUACUUUUCCUCAACCUUUCAAGGCUGAACGAGUGCUGUGGAGAUCCACUCUGUUGUUUUCUCCCCUGACUAAAUGAAGCACAGGUCCCUCUACAAAACCCCUGGUGUCUGCUGAUAAAAGCCUCAGAGGUGUUUGCAUGAAGCCUGAACACAAGCAGCUCUGUGGCUGGAGCAGUUGGUGGGUAAUGGCUGGGUUACACAGAAAACCAAUCUGUUCUCCAUCUGGCAGUGAGAAUAUCACUGGAAGGAAAAGGAGGCAGGACCAGAACUAGUAAGACCUCCAAAGUUCAUUGCUGCUGCAAGAGUCCACAAACAGAGAGAACAGGAGCAUCUGCUGGCAUGGUUUGAGGCCCUGAGGAUAUGGGAGGUGAGCUGGAGAAUGGGUUUUCCCCGAUUCUGCAGGUUUGUAACCAGGGUGGGGACAGGGUGAGCACCGUCCCUCUGAUGUUGAUGCCCAGGGUGGCUUGGGGGCCCUUCUGCAAUGCACACCACGACCUGACACAGAGGAGCUGAAGAUGAAGCUAAAUUAUAUUUGAUGUGUUUUUUAGGACAAGAGAAAAGCUUUGAGGAAUUAGAGCCUUGUACUAAGCACUGCAAAUAUGCAAAGUAAAGGGCAAUUUCUCUUCCCAGCUACAAAAACAGGUGGAAUUGCAACAGAGAGGUGGAAACACACAUAUAUUCAGUGAUUUUUCACAGGUCACACAGUGUGUUUUCAUUGCUCAGACUAUUUACUGAUGUGAAAAACAAAAUCCUGCUUGUAAAAUCAGAAACACGCAUUUUGGAAAGGUGUUUUCUGAGAAUUAAAUCUGGUUGGCAUCCUGAGCCAGUCCUUGCAGAGGCUAUUGUGUGGAAUGCAGGAGGACAGAUCUGGUUUUAGGCCAGGUCUGUGGGAUGACACUGAGCCUCUGAUGUUUCCCAAGUGAUGAAUUAUUUCAAGGAACAACCUGGGCGAUAGCAGCCCCUGUGUCACGGUGGCAGGGCGAGAGAGGAAGACUUUUAAAUGUUAAUUAGCAGGGAAGAGCUGUCUUGCAGACUAACCACAAAGAUCUCCGGUGAUGGCGGGAGGCAAAGGAGAGCAGCAGAGCAUUUCAUUUGUAAUGCAUGGUUUUAUUUCACCUUGGAGAUCCUCUCAUUGAUGGCUUUGGCAGGCAGAUAAUGAGACUGCAUUGCUGUAGGGUCCCUGACUGCAAGGUGCUUAAGCACAAAGGAGCCCCUAGGAAACCUCCUGGCAGGGGGCAGGAAGCCUGGCACUGGGCAGAGAUCAGGGAGGAGGCACCAGGAAAAGUUGUACCUGCAGGCAGGUGAGAAAGAGCAGAGGCUGAGGGUGCCCAGUCCCAGCUGGGCAAGGGGAGGAUGAAAUGGCAGAGCGAGAAUGAGGUGAUCCUACAGAGGUAAGAAAAUAUUGAGCUGGGUGAUGGGGCCAGCUUGAGCUCAAAUGCUCCUUUCCAUUGCUUCCUUUUUCCAUGUGGAUGUCUCCUGAGCCAAUCCCACUCCUGUGCCACUGCCAUCAGGCUGGGAGCAUUUUCCAGCCCCCCAGCCCUUCCCAUCACCUUUUUGGUAAGUGCUCAGAGGUGCUGUGGCUCUUACAUGGGAAAGGGAUUUAAUGCUCUGAGGAGAAUGGAGGGGCUUUAACUGGAAUGCUGAUGUGCCAAGUGCCACUGCAACUGCAACUGCUCGGGGCAGAGCUCCAUUCCACUGCUCUGCUUUGGGUUCCUCCACCGGGUCCAGGGGGGGACCUCUGCCCUGGCUGCCCCAUGAAGAACAUCAGUGGGGUGUGGAGUAGAGCCAUCCUCCCUCCUGAGCCAGAGGAAACACCUCUGCCUUUGCUUGGGCUGGAAAACACACCCAUCUCCAGGCCCUCCUAAACUGGAAGAGUGACUCCAUCACUCCACCACAAAUUGCUUCAUUGACAUUGUAAGGGCAAAACACAGUGUCAGACAAGAAUGAAGCCAAAUGUUGAUGCCUGAAUCUUUCUCUCUGAUUAACCAUAAAUUAAAAAAAAAAAAAAAAA
ensembl:lncRNA